UUAUAUAGGGUAAAGUACCUUUAGUCGUACCAGCGCUUAAGUCGUACCACGUCGAUAUCUGCGCACCCGUCAUGAAAAGGUGGCAUCUAGCAGUGCAAUAUGGUUCUACUCAGUACCACGGGUAAACAGCAACACGCGGCGGGUUGCCGGAAUUCGCGAUCAAAAAAUAAUGAAAAAGUGAUCAAUAUGGCAAAGAAAAUUUUUAACUCUUGGAAGCAAGAUGACAUAGAUGAACACAAAAAGAAACACAAUUCACAAAUAAAAAAAGAAAGAUAGACAGAAAAUCUAACAAAGAUAAGAAACUAGAUGCUAAAGAAAAUUGGUUGUGCAAACUAACAAAACUAAACAAGAUCGCAAAGAAAAUAUGACCCUAUGUAUUAAAUGCAAAGGAUGGGUACAUGAUUUAUGUGCAGAUCUCGAAAUUAAAACUAAAAAUUACAUUUGUGAUAUAUACAUUUAAAAAAUGAUAGUUUUAUUUCCCAAAGGUACUCAUUAUUACGAAACUACUACUAACGUUUUUUUAUUGUUAUAUUUAUAAGUAACACUGAAACUGGUCUCGUAGCAUAUAAGUCUACGCAGUUUUUUAAUUGUCCUUAGAAUUCCAGUUGGAAAUAUAUAUGUUUACUCUAAGUACGACUUAGGCCAUGGGUGGUACGAUUAAGGCAACCGGUUGCCUAAGUCGUACCGAAGGAAGGUUUUUGUAAAACCUAUAAAAAACAUUUUAUUGAAAGUUUUUUAUAUGUCUUAUUAGGCUUUGUUGAUUCGUUAAUAAAUGAAGUAUUUAUAUAUGCAAA